rnacentral:rRNA from 1 species
AACGAACGCUGGCGGCAUGCCUAACACAUGCAAGUCGAACGAGACCUUCGGGUCUAGUGGCGCACGGGUGCGUAACGCGUGGGAAUCUACCCUUGGGUUCGGAAUAACAGUUAGAAAUGACUGCUAAUACCGGAUGAUGACGUAAUUCCCAAGAUUUAUCGCCCAAGGAUGAGCCCGCGUAAGAUUAGCUUGUUGGUGGGGUAAUGGCCUACCAAGGCGACGAUCUUUAGCUGGUCUGAGAGGAUGAUCAGCCACACUGGGACUGAGACACGGCCCAGACUCCUACGGGAGGCAGCAGUGGGGAAUAUUGGACAAUGGGCGAUAGCCUGAUCCAGCAAUGCCGCGUGAGUGAUGAAGGCCUUAGGGUUGUAAAGCUCUUUUACCAGGGAUGAUAAUGACAGUACCUGGAGAAUAAGCUCCGGCUAACUCCGUGCCAGCCGCCGCAGUAA